rnacentral:tRNA from 1 species
GUGUAGCUCAGUGGCAGAGCACUUGCCUAGCAUGCAUGAGACCCUGGGCUCUAUCCCCAGCAC